UCCCUUGUAGCUCAGCUGGUAAAGAAUCUGCCUGCAAUGCAGGAGACCCUGGUUCAAAUCCUGGGUCAGGAA
rnacentral:tRNA from 1 species